AUUCAGCCGCCCGAGGAGCGGGUUGAGAUUGUUAUUCCACGCACCGCCGAGGUCAGGAAGGAGAUGAAAAUUAGAGCCGCUUCAGAGGCGAAUCGAGAGCAGAAUGGUAGCCUUGUUGAAGGAGCAGGUGGACGCAUUCACUUGGUCAUGUCAGGAUAUGCCAAGGUCGAAUACCGGUGUCGUUGUGCACAAGCUACCAUGGAGAGAAGACUGUCCU
rnacentral:lncRNA from 1 species